rnacentral:rRNA from 1 species
UACAGAGGUCUCAAGCGUUGUUCGGAUUCAUUGGGCGUAAAGGGUGCGUAGGUGGCGGGGCAAGUCAGGUGUGAAAUCUCGGGGCUCAACCCCGAAACUGCACUUGAUACUGCCCUGCUCGAGUACUGGAGAGGAGAUUGGAAUUUACGGUGUAGCAGUGAAAUGCGUAGAUAUCGUAAGGAAGACCAGUGGCGAAGGCGAAUCUCUGGACAGUUACUGACACUGAGGCACGAAGGCUAGGGGAGCAAACGGG